GAAAGCCGGAGCUCUCUGGGAUAAAAAUCCAGGAGGCAGCAUGCAACUUUCCCUUAUACUCCAGGGAAACAGAAAAAAGAAAAGGCCAGAAAGGCCGAUGCUGGAAGUAAGAGGAGACCCAGUUCCUCCAAGAAAAAAUAAAAUGAACAGCAUCCUCCAUCAUUCCUAGAUUGUUUCGCUCUGACUGAUAUCACCUGAAAUAGAAGCAUUUUAUUCUGCUGAGACAGUGGAGAGCAGCUGUUUGAUCGCUGACCAGAGAUAACCCUGGAGAGCUUCUAUUUUACAUGCU
rnacentral:lncRNA from 1 species